rnacentral:rRNA from 1 species
AGUCGACGGAAGGCCCUUCGGGGUACUCGAGUGGCGAACGGGUGAGUAACACGUGGGUGAUCUGCCCUGCACUUUGGGAUAAGCCUGGGAAACUGGGUCUAAUACCGAAUAUGACCGCGCACUUCCUGGUGUGUGGUGGAAAGCUUUUGCGGUGUGGGAUGGGCCCGCGGCCUAUCAGCUUGUUGGUGGGGUAAUGGCCUACCAAGGCGACGACGGGUAGCCGGCCUGAGAGGGUGACCGGCCACACUGGGACUGAGAUACGGCCCAGACUCCUACGGGAGGCAGCAGUGGGGAAUAUUGCACAAUGGGCGCAAGCCUGAUGCAGCGACGCCGCGUGAGGGAUGACGGCCUUCGGGUUGUAAACCUCUUUCAAUAGGGACGAAGCGCAAGUGACGGUACCUAUAGAAGAAGGACCGGCCAACUACGUGCCAGCAGCCGCGGUAAUACGUAGGGUCCGAGCGUUGUCCGGAAUUACUGGGCGUAAAGAGCUCGUAGGUGGUUUGUCGCGUUGUUCGUGAAAACUCACAGCUUAACUGUGGGCGUGCGGGCGAUACGGGCAGACUAGAGUACUGCAGGGGAGACUGGAAUUCCUGGUGUAGCGGUGGAAUGCGCAGAUAUCAGGAGGAACACCGGUGGCGAAGGCGGGUCUCUGGGCAGUAACUGACGCUGAGGAGCGAAAGCGUGGGGAGCGAACAGGAUUAGAUACCCUGGUAGUCCACGCCGUAAACGGUGGGUACUAGGUGUGGGUUUCCUUCCUUGGGAUCCGUGCCGUAGCUAACGCAUUAAGUACCCCGCCUGGGGAGUACGGCCGCAAGGCUAAAACUCAAAGAAAUUGACGGGGGCCCGCACAAGCGGCGGAGCAUGUGGAUUAAUUCGAUGCAACGCGAAGAACCUUACCUGGGUUUGACAUGCACAGGACGCCAGUAGAGAUAUUGGUUCCCUUGUGGCCUGUGUGCAGGUGGUGCAUGGCUGUCGUCAGC